UUAAUUGAAGCCAAAAUUUGAGGCAUUUUAUUGUUAAUAAAAAAAUUGAUUAAAAUCCAAUUAAA
rnacentral:tRNA from 1 species